rnacentral:rRNA from 1 species
CCUACGGGAGGCAGCAGUGGGGAAUAUUGGGCAAUGGGCGCAAGCCUGACCCAGCAACGCCGCGUGAAGGAAGAAGGCUUUCGGGUUGUAAACUUCUUUUGUCAGGGACGAAGCAAGUGACGGUACCUGACGAAUAAGCCACGGCUAACUACGGGCCAGCAGCCGCGGUAAUACGUAGGUGGCGAGCGUUAGCCGGAUUUACUGGGUGUAAAGGGAGUGUAGGCGGGACUGCAAGGCAGAUGUGAAAACCACGGGCUCAACCUGUGGCCUGCAUUUGACACUGUAGUUCUUGAGUACUGGAGAGGCAGACGGAAUUCGUAGUGUAGCGGUGAAAUGCGUAGAUAUUAGGAGGAACACCAGUGGCGAAGGCGGUCUGCUGGACAGCAACUGACGCUGAGGCGCGAAAGCGUGGGGAGCAAACAGGAUUAGAUACCCUUGUAGUC